CGCAAAUUACCCAAUCCUGACAUGGGGAGGUAGUGACAAUAAAUAACAAUACCGGGCUUUUUCAAGUCUGGUAAUUGGAAUGAGUACAAUCUAAAUCCCUUAACGAGGAUCAAUUGGAGGGCAAGUCUGGUGCCAGCAGCCGCGGUAAUUCCAGCUCUAAUAGCGUAUAUUAAAGUUGUUGCUGUUAAAAAGCUCGUAGUUGGAUCUUGAGGUCUUUG
rnacentral:rRNA from 1 species